rnacentral:tRNA from 1 species
GCUCUCAUAGCUCAAUGGAUCGAGCAUUGGUUUGCGGAACCAAAGAUGACCGUCCGAUUCGGUCUGAGAGCA